ensembl:snRNA U6 U6 spliceosomal RNA
GUGCUUGCUUUGGCAGCACAUAUGCUAAAAUUGGAAUGAUACAGAGAUUAGCAUGGCCUCUGCCCAAGGAUGACACACAAAUUCGUGAAGUGUUCCAUAUUUUU